rnacentral:rRNA from 1 species
UACGAAGGGGGCUAGCGUUGCUCGGAAUCACUGGGCGUAAAGGGUGCGUAGGCGGGUCUUUAAGUCAGGGGUGAAAUCCUGGAGCUCAACUCCAGAACUGCCUUUGAUACUGAGGAUCUUGAGUUCGGGAGAGGUGAAUGGAACUGCGAGUGUAGAGGUGAAAUUCGUAGAUAUUCGCAAGAACACCAGUGGCGAAGGCGGCUCACUGGCCCGAUACUGACGCUGAGGCACGAAAGCGUGGG